GACGUAAAUCUGUCGAAGAAAGUAGUAUAAAACAAACGCGUUUGAAGGAGAAUAAUUCAAACAUGCGUGACAGUUCUGUUGUACAUGUCUGCUAGCUUUUGGCAAGCAACCAUCAAGGUAAGUUGUUACCUUGAUAAUCUCUUGCUUUUGGCCUAUCGUCGGUACAAGCCUACUACAUUAGUCUUACGUUAAUUUUUUUUUAAAAUAUUUUUCCCUAUGCUAAUGUAAGCGCCUCAUGAACAAGGGUAAUUAUGGUGUCUAAUCAAAACAAUCUUGAUUAAACAGUUGAUUAAAAGUUCGACGAAAGUUGUUGGCUCCGCUUGAUUCAUUGUCCCUCACAUCACUCAAUGCUCACCAGAUCGAUCUUCGGACCAGUAGUCUAGUUGGGGAACAUGGGACUUCAUUUUCAUGAAGCGUAACAUCAGGAAAUGUGACAGAAAACAAAAAGGCCGAGAGAAAUUAAUUCUUAACCACGAGAUCUAGGGGAAGGCACCGGCCAUUUCGCACUGAAGGCAAUUCGUUUUUGAACGAUGGGCAUGGACAAAAAAAUAUAUAAUGGAUCGUUGCAAAAGGGUUUCAAAUCGCCAUCCCUCUUACUUUUAUUUUGCUCUUGUAAUGAAUUUAAUUCCAGAGAGAGUAAGUUUUUCAUUUGUUCUUCCAUUCUUGAUUCCUUCCUUCCUCCAUACGCAUGCACUUACACAUUCAUUUCCUUUCGCAGAAGAAGACAGAGAUGUGAUUAUCAUCUUAGCCGCUGUAGCGCUUGGUGUCCUCGUCAUUGCGUUGUUCCUGCUCCUCAUCAGUUGUUGCUUCUUUUGGAAAAUGUUGAGAAGGGCAGAGAAUCGGAACUAUUAACAGCAAAAUAACUAUCAGCUCAAUUGAACUUUUCUGUUUUUAUAUUUCGCUGCGACAAAGCUAAGCUUGUCGUUAUUCCAAUAUCAGCUCCCUAGUAUUCUGCGGUGCUUUGGUAGAAUAUAAACGAACGAUUGCUUGUUUAGUGGAAGCAGUGUUAGCUACAUACUAAGACGAGACGAUUCAAUGGAAGAAAAAGAAGAGAAACAAUAUAUAUAUAUCCUCAAUCA